AUACGGAGGGUGCAAGCGUUAUUCGGAAUCACUGGGCGUAAAGGACGCGUAGGCGGGUUGGCAAGUCAGAUGGGAAAUCCUACAGCUUAACUGUAGAACUGCAUUUGAAACUGCUAACCUAGAGUAUGGGAGGGGGAGAUGGAAUUAGUGGUGUAGGGGUAAAAUCCGUAGAUAUCACUAGGAUACCGAAAGCGAAGGCGAUCUCCUGGAACAUAACUGACGCUAAGGCGUGAAAGCGUGGGGAGCAAACAGGAUUAGAAACCCCAGUAGUCC
rnacentral:rRNA from 1 species